UGAGGCAGGAGAAUUGCUUGAACCCGGGAGGCAGAGGUUGCAGUGAGCCAAGAUUGUGCCACUGCACUCCAGCCUGGCCGAAAAGAGCGAGACUGAGUCUUAAAA